UUUUUGAAUGUCGAGAUCAGUAUGCUCUAGUCUCCUCCAUGCUGCUCUCCAUUAUCAGUGCACCAGGCUCUCUGCAGCUGCAAUGUUCAGUCCUGCAUUGAUAUUUCCUCUUUGAAGACUGCAAGUCCCUCCUUCUGAUGCUUUCUUAAUUGCUUUCUCCUUAGGUCAGUGCAUCUGUGAGACACCCGUUUGCCUGCAUGAGUUCAUAUCAUCUUCAGACAUCGUGGUUGGCUUUCCAAAGCCACAAUUGCAGCAGUGUUUGAGUAGGAAAUGAGCCAUGAGGACAUAAACCUGGUGAAUCUCCAUCACAAGAAGGACACCAUGCUGUCCACCUCAUGAAGGAAGAUGAGGUUAAGUUCCACACACAUGGAAGAACAGAAUUGAUAGGAAAUGCUAACUAAUGGCUUCGUGUGAGAAACAAAGUAAGGGACAACACAGAGGACCCAGGACAGAAACUGGGACAUUUUGCCUGGAUCUGCACCUGAGUGACCUUGUAAAUUUGAGUAAGUCAUUGUGGUUCUACUGUCUUCCUUUUCUUCACCAACUAAGAGGUAGGAUGGGGUUGAAUGGGACAGUUUAAUUUCUUUGGUGCUUACAUUCUAAGAUUCUAUGAUUUUAUAUA
rnacentral:lncRNA from 1 species